GAGUUUGAUCCUGGCUCAGGAUGAACGCUGGCGGCGUGCUUAACACAUGCAAGUCGAGCGAAGCAUUAAAACCGAUUUCUUCGGAAUGAAGUUUUAAUGACUGAGCGGCGGACGGGUGAGUAACGCGUGGGUGACCUGCCUCAUACAGGGGGAUAACAGACAGAAAUGUCUGCUAAUACCGCAUAAGCGCACAGUGCUGCAUGGCACAGUGUGAAAAACUCCGGUGGUAUGAGAUGGACCCGCGUCUGAUUAGCUAGUUGGUAAGGUAACGGCUUACCAAGGCGACGAUCAGUAGCCGGCCUGAGAGGGUGAACGGCCACAUUGGGACUGAGACACGGCCCAAACUCCUACGGGAGGCAGCAGUGGGGAAUAUUGCACAAUGGGGGAAACCCUGAUGCAGCGACGCCGCGUGAAGGAAGAAGUAUUUCGGUAUGUAAACUUCUAUCAGCAGGGAAGAAAAUGACGGUACCUGACUAAGAAGCCCCGGCUAACUA
rnacentral:rRNA from 1 species